rnacentral:lncRNA from 1 species
UUAUAGAAAUGAAAGAAGGGGGCUUUUCUCUCUCUUCUCUCAGUCUCGACCUUUCAGAGAGGGAAAGCUUUCCCGGUGAUCUACUCUCUUCCGGCGGUGGUUAGCUUCGUCAGUGGCAUCAGCCGGCUCCUAUCUGACAUCGUUGGCUUCCUUAGUCACGAUGGUCAAUCUAUUUCCGGCAUCGGUGGCUCCUUAGCACCGUUUGGCCGACUUUGGCUCCGGCAUGCGUCGGCUUUUUAUGAGACGAUGUCCGGCUUUUGGCUCCGGUAUGCGUCGGCUUUCUAUGCGACGAUAUCCGGCUUUGUGUUUGGUGAUUUCGCCGCAGUCUCUCUGGAGGUUUCGGCCAACUUUACUCCGGUGUUAGAUCCGGCUUUCUCGUUGGUUUUUUGGCUGGGGAUUGAUGGUCUAUGGCUAGUUAGCACGGGUGUUGAUCCUCCUUAUAGUUUUAUUUUUCCUGUUUUGUUGAAAUCUUUGGUGGUUGAUGAGCCUUUGCUUUGGAAGUAACAGAACUGAUUCAAUUUGGGGUGAAGAUGAUGACGUCGAUGUGGAGUGAAGUCGGCGGUGCUGAACCCCUUUGUUAUUUCUUGCAGCUCUCAUAUUGGAAGGCAUAUCUCAUCUUGGAAGGCAUAUUUCACCUUGGAAGGUUGCUGGACUAGAGGUUUUGUCCUUGUGUUGCCACUUUGGAUUUUAUUUUCAUCGAUGUAGGCACUUUAAUUCUGUUUUUAGCUUGGGAUUGAGAUCUUGGCUAAGGAAUUAUUGUGUUGUUUACUGGUUUGUGUUACGGCUUUUUGGGAGUGGUUGUGGAUUGAAGCCUUAGUUUUAAGUCUUGGGUUGGCUUUCUUGACUCCUAGUUCUGCCUCUCUGUUACUUCAUAUCUGGUGAUUGGUGUUGUGAGUUGGUGAAGGUUUCGAUUUGUGGGUUCUUCAUUUGGAUGGUAGCUUUCUGCAUAGGCAUCUACUAGCUCCUAUUUGUGUCUUUGUUUAGGCUUCAGAUUUGGGUUCACGACGAUGCGGCGGGUUCGGUCUCUAUUCCUUCUCUUGCGUGGCGUAACUAGUUCUUAGUUUGUAGAUGGCUUUGGCUGGGUCUACGAAUGUCCGCGUGUAAGAAAUGGGGGUCCUCUUUGGCGUUUUCCCCUUCGGAUCUCAAGGUUUCUCCUUGUUCCUUUGCUUUCUCGUCUUCUCUGGUGGCUGGAAGGUAGUAUUGGUUUGGUUCUAUGCUCUACUCUACUUGAUUAUUCGUCUUCGUUUCUGCUGAGGUUGUGGUUGUGUGAGUUCGGUCUAGUCCCUUUCUCGGGCUUUCUCUUUUGAAGGCAUUCUAAUGAUUCGCUUUUCUUCGAGGCUCAUG